rnacentral:lncRNA from 1 species
AUGCCCAGGAACGCGCAGGAGCCAUCAGAAAGGUCUCUGCAGAGGGCUCUAAAGAAAUUCUUUGUUCCUUAAGAUCUUGGCAUUUUAGCACUAGGACAGUGAGAAGUGGUAAUUUACUCAAUCCCUGAGGCUAUGUUAUCCUGAACAAGUAAAUAAAGGGCUGAGGAAAGAGGUAGCAUCACUGACAAUAAACAAGCUGCUGAUCGUCAAACAGAGGAAUUUGCCAACAGACAUCUGGGUAGCACAAAGGCCAAGGAAGGACUGAAGGAACGAACUCUCACCCAAGAACCCAGAUGCCAUGUUGUAAGGAAGCCCAGACCAC